rnacentral:snoRNA from 1 species
UGCCCAUGAUGCAUCUCAAAUGCACGUAUUAUCAGAUAUAAUUCUGAUGAAAUCUGAUUGUCACUACCUCUGAGGCA